UCAGUAUGGGAUAUGCCAUGGGUCAGUGUCAUGGAAAUGUCCUCCUGAUGAGGAAACCACAAUAUGGUCUGGGAAUAAUUGCCCAAAAGACAAAGAUGAAAAGAUAAAGUCAUCAGCGAGGAGCUGAAUCAAAAGGGAGGAAGUCAGGACCCGAACCAGUGCCCAUAUGGGAUGCCAGUGUCACAGGAUCCUUCACAGAACUGCUAUUGGAGCAGGGGACUGGAGGGACUUCCAGGAGUUAUUUACAAACUUCUCAUUCUAUCCAAGAACGAGUUCUGUGUAUCUUCUGUUGCGUUCCAGGUAGGCAAAAGCCUUAUGACUUCUAUGCUGAGUGAG